rnacentral:rRNA from 1 species
AGAGUUUGAUCCUGGCUCAGGAUGAACGCUGGCGGCGUGCCUAAUACAUGCAAGUCGAGCGAAUGGAUUAAGAGCUUGCUCUUAUGAAGUUAGCGGCGGACGGGUGAGUAACACGUGGGUAACCUGCCCAUAAGACUGGGAUAACUCCGGGAAACCGGGGCUAAUACCGGAUAAUAUUUUGAACUGCAUGGUUCGAAAUUGAAAGGCGGCUUCGGCUGUCACUUAUGGAUGGACCCGCGUCGCAUUAGCUAGUUGGUGAGGUAACGGCUCACCAAGGCAACGAUGCGUAGCCGACCUGAGAGGGUGAUCGGCCACACUGGGACUGAGACACGGCCCAGACUCCUACGGGAGGCAGCAGUAGGGAAUCUUCCGCAAUGGACGAAAGUCUGACGGAGCAACGCCGCGUGAGUGAUGAAGGCUUUCGGGUCGUAAAACUCUGUUGUUAGGGAAGAACAAGUGCUAGUUGAAUAAGCUGGCACCUUGACGGUACCUAACCAGAAAGCCACGGCUAACUACGUGCCAGCAGCCGCGGUAAUAC